rnacentral:rRNA from 1 species
AGAUUGAACGCUGGCGGCAUGCCUUACACAUGCAAGUCGAACGGCAGCGCGGGGCAACCUGGCGGCGAGUGGCGAACGGGUGAGUAAUAUAUCGGAACGUACCCUGGAGUGGGGGAUAACGUAGCGAAAGUUACGCUAAUACCGCAUACGAUCUAAGGAUGAAAGUGGGGGAUUCGCAAGAACCUCAUGCUCCUGGAGCGGCCGAUAUCUGAUUAGCUAGUUGGUGGGUAAAGGCCUACCAAGGCAUCGAUCAGUAGCUGGUCUGAGAGGACGACCAGCCACACUGGAACUGAGACACGGUCCAGACUCCUACGGGAGGCAGCAGUGGGAAUUUUGGACAAUGGGCGAAAGCCUGAUCCAGCAAUGCCGCGUGAGUGAAGAAGGCCUUGGUGUAAGCUCUUUGUCAGGGAGAACGGUGAGAGCUAAUAUCUACUGACUAAUAGACGUACCGCGUAAGAAUAAGCGACCGCUAACUACGUCGCCGAGACCG